UGUAGAGCAAGUAACACUGAACUUUGAGGUUUAGGCAGCUUUAAAUUAAAAAACAAAAUCAAAUUGUAUUGUUGUCUCUGUACUUCAGUCAGAACAUUAAACUGCUGUUGUUACAUUUUAUGUCAAAAUGCGAGUAGCUGUUAAAAUGGUUAUUCAGAUAUAUGCAACUGAAAGCCGUGAGUGUUGAGGUUUUUCAUGAGAAGAAUUUAACCACUUGUACAAUGCAGCUUAUUGCAGUUCUCUCGGGGGCUGGUCUGGUGGCUAAUGCACUAGUUUGUUGGCCACUUUGAUCCUGGCUGCCCUGUUUUAAGUCUUGCUAUGACUGGUUAAGCUAGUGCUCUGUAACCCCGGGGAUAACUUGAGGGUUCUGAAAGUCAUGAGGCACGGUCCCCAAGAUCAAAAUAUAAAAAUAGGUCUGGGGUCAGGGAACUCAACAGGCCCUGGAAGCUCUUCACUUUUACAGCUGGAGAUGGUCUCUUAUGUAUUUAGAAUUCGUCAUUAGGAUUCUGACAAAGAACUGCAGUAUGGGAUUGCUGCAGGGCAGGCUGUUUGAAUCUUACUCUUGAUAACAAAAAAAACCCCAACUUCUGGCUGCUGACAGGAGACAAGAGAGAUAGCUCCCUCCACUUCAGUCUAUAAUACAAACGAAGAUCAGCCAUUUGUUGCAUCCGAGGUAAACUGGCCUGGAUUUGUGGUCUGAGUUCACCAUAUUUCCACAGUAUGACAUUGAAGAAGAAAGGAAUUUUACUUGUCACUUGAUAGUUAUUGUCUCAUGACACUAAGCUAUGACUUGGAGACAAAGGCCAAGUCAAGCCCCACUGUGAGAUUCAAUGAUUCCUUGGUGGAGAAAGAAGCAUUUGAUGUGGAGCCUGACACACCUGAAGGGAGGGGAAGAAAUAUCUAGCACAGCUGCUUCCGAAUUCCCUGGCUGGUCUGAGAACUGUGUGAAGCUGUGAUGGAACCCCCUGGAGAUGUUCUGCAGCUCCAGGCCUCACUUCACAGACUCACUGCAGGGAACAAGAUGUCUCCAGAGUUAAAUACAUGAAUUAAAUGCAAUUUCAAUGGAUGUCCCAAUGUUUUAAAUUGAAUAACAUGACUUUAAAGAAGAUAUGGGAAACUUCAACUCCCAGAAAAAUGAAGUAGAUACAUACUUCUCUAUUCCUUCCACUAAGUACAACUGAAAACCGUGACACUAUAUAUAAAACAAACAUAAGAAGACUCUGAAAGGCAAGAAUGGGUUUUCUUUUGCCUCCUUUAUUCCAGACUUGUAACUGAAGAAGCCAUCAACCAAGAAAUUUCCAACAGACCCAGAUGGAAAAAGUCCCAGUGAAAGCCUGUUCUUUAGCCAAAGGGGCCAGAAAAGAGCAAGAUAGCAGGACAAGAUCUCUGCCAUCAUGUGAGAGAGAGCCUGAGUUAGCCUGCUGGAUGGUCAAAGAUGAGUGGUGCAGCUAAGUGAAAGCCUGCUGACUUGUAGACAUAUGAGUAAGGCCAUGCUUGAUCACCUGGCUGCCAGCUGGCCUGCCAACUAAUUGCAGGUACUUGAAAGAGUCCAGCAGAGAUCAGCCACCCCAGGUCAAAUAAACACCCAGCCCCCUCCCUGAGAAUGAUGAACUAAAUAAAUGUCUUAAGUACUAAGUUUUGGGUGUUUGCUACAUAGCAAAAGCUAAUUGAUACUGUUCCCAAGGAGUGGAAAACUUCUGUAACAAAAAACAAAAAAUUCUGGCAUUGGUUUUGGGAUUGGGCAAUGGGUAGAGGCUAGAAAAAUGGCAAGGAAGCUGCCAUAGCAACCUAGAAAAAUGGCAACCCAUGCUAUAAAAUAGGGCAAUUGGUCAAUAAUUUUUGAAGUGGUUUGUUAUGCAGCAAUAGCCUACUGAUACACCAUGUGAAUUAUAGCAAGGAAUAGCUAAGGCAAAACAAAACAUUGGAUGAGUAGCAUAGUUCAUUCUAAAGAACCACUAAGGCUUGCUCAGGAAUAUGUACUAAUUCAGGUGGCAUCUGUUAACUAUCACUGAGCAUAAUAUUGGAGGAUAAAUCUGCUUUGCUUAUUGCCACCCCCGUAGCUUAGAAGCUACUCCUAAAACAGCAAGGAUGUCACUGUGGCAGUGGGCAAGGAUUAAUUCCCUCAUUUAUUUAUUCAUUUAUUAAUUCAACAAA
rnacentral:lncRNA from 10 species